AUAGAAGGGUCAACUAUUAAGUUAGGUAUUAACUAACCUACAAGUGAAACUAAAGUUAUUUUAAUGGAACAAUACUGUCAUAUGUUUGUUUGGAAUAUUUAUUAAAUCAAAGACUUUCUGUCGGCUUACCAAGCUACUUUGGAUAACGAUUUGAACUUGGCAAAAAAAUAUGCAAUCUGACUUUUGUUCUUUAUUAUAAAC